rnacentral:rRNA from 1 species
GUGCCAGCCGCCGCGGUAAUACAGAGGGUGCAAGCGUUAAUCGGAAUUACUGGGCGUAAAGCGAGCGUAGUCGGUUAUUUAAGUCGGAUGUGAAAUCCCCGGGCUCAACCUGGGAAUUGCAUUCGAUACUGGAUAGCUAGAGUUCGGCAGAGGGAAGCGGAAUUUCUGGUGUAGCGGUGAAAUGCGUAGAUAUCAGAAGGAACAUCAGUGGCGAAAGCGGCUUCCUGGACCAGAACUGACGAUCAGGCUCGAAAGCGUGGGGAGCAAACAGGAUUAGAUACCCUCGUAGUCC